rnacentral:lncRNA from 1 species
CUGGUAUUCGAGACCUUGAUAAUGCCAACACUUAGAAUAUUACCAAUUUUAGUAGUAGUUUGCUGCCUCAUCUUUCUUCUUUUUCCCCUAGUAGGUUCUGACUUAUUCUGGAGAGGAGUAGGAAGUAAUAUGAGCAGGAACUCUUGGGAGGCCAGAACAACCAACCUGCGUAUGGAUUGUCGAAAGAAACAUAAAGACGCAAAAAGGAAAAUGAAACCAAAAUAAUAAAUGUCAGUUGGUUUUGAUACUGAAUGUGAACAAGGCUCACUAAGGAAACUGACCCAGAAAACAGUUUUAGCUGACAAAGAAGAAAUUUCAGAGUGAAGGAAUUUUAAAAAUCUGGCUGACGGAAUAUCAUUCUGGUUGCCAUCUUUUUCUGUGGAACUCCUCUGCAUUUCUUCCUAAGUAAUUACUUCAAAAAUUAAAUUCAACUUCUUAUAAAGGAAGAACAAGAUAGUCCUUGAAAAUACUUUUUGUAUAUAAUCUCUUUGCCCUCUAUCCUGAGUAACUAAUGGACAUCUUCUCAUGCAAGGUUUACAUGAAGCCUUUUUUAAUAAAUGAGUCAAAGCACUUGUAUUUUCCAGCCUAGGCUUUGUGUGAAUUAUAGGCUAUUUGAAAUUUUAUUUCUGAUUAUGUCAAAU